rnacentral:pre_miRNA from 13 species
UCUCGCAAUCCCUGAGACCCUAACUUGUGACGUUUUGCUGUUCUGUGCACGGGUUAGGCUCUUGGGAGCUGGGAGGG